AAAGACCACUAAUUUAUUUCCUCUUCAUCUUCUACGAAACUCUCUCUGCCCCUUUCAAUAUUGCUCUCAAAUUGCAAGGGUGGAACGAUGGUGGCUGCACGAGAAGGAGGAGUAUGUUGGCUUGAAAAACAAUGGCAGCGACGAUGUUGUGACGGGUUUGCACAAAGGCUUACUGAUCUUGCGGUCGCCGUCGAUUUGGAGGGGUUGA